rnacentral:snRNA from 1 species
CGGGGUAUUGUAAGUGGCAGA